UUGUGUUUAAGACUUAAGUAUCCUCUCAACAUUUUAUCUCAAUUGAAAUUUUUUAAAAUUUCUAAAUAAUAGAGUUUAUCAUUGGUAUCCAUAUCAUCCAAAGAUCAAAAAUUAUUUCGACGCACCAUUCAGGUAUAUAAAAAGAUAAAAUAAUCACAUAGCAGACACACUUACGAGAGAAUGAAAGCCAUCAUGAAGCAAAUACAACAUCAACUCAAACAAAAGUAGGAAAAAAAAGACUCUCUACUUAGACAGCUAGAAGCAGUAAAACGUGAAUAAAAUCAGCUACAACAAAAAUUACAAAUAUUAUCAUUAUACUCUGCACCAAAGGAAGAAGCAGCUAGCAGCUCAACCACAAAAAAAUCCAACAGAAGUGUGACAUAAAAUAGUGCCGGUAGGAUAAUAAUUGUAAAGUGUGACAUAAAGUGUUGGUCGGUUAGUAAUAAUGUAAUGUGACAUAAAGUUUGUAAGAUCCAUAAUAGUGUAAGGAUCAGUAGUAUAAAUAGUUUGUCAUAUUGAGUUCAUACAAUUGCAAUAAUCAAUAAUGUAAAGGUUUGGUGUGUAAUUGGCUCUUUAAGAGCCUAUAAAUAGGGCUUUGCCCGUAAUGAAUAAAUCAGAGUGAUUUGUGUUUAA